GUUAGCGGCCCCUGCAGUCAGCCCGGCGGAGUCGCGGGGAGGCGGGAGCGGGAGGCGGCGCUGCGUCACCCGGUCCUGGUCUCCUGGCGGCUGGGAAGAGUCCUGCAGGCUGGCCCCAGCAGGCAAGGGAAGGCUAGGAGGACGAGGAGGAUGAGGGCUACCUUCCACGGGCAUGGAAGCUGAAUCUGUGGAUGGAUGUGGGUCUACAGCCUCCAGAGAGACAAGGGAUGGUGUCUUCGUGUCAGUCACUUGACCGUUCCCUUUCUAACAGGCCCAAGGAACUUGAGUUGCUAUUCCUGAUGCUAAUUAACGUGGGACAAGCUCAACAUGUCAGCCUCAGGGAGGUCUGUCUCCCUGGACACUCCUCACCACCACCACCCCGCCCCUCCAGCUAAAGGGUCCCAAGGCACAGCAGGGCUGUAUUCAGCACUGCCCUCAAAGCAUGCCCGCUGCUUUCUGUGAAAAUUCCAUAGGCAAAUGGACUUGUUCCUUACUGUCUCCAAUGUCUAAAAUGGUCCCUGCACAUAGCGUUAUUAAUCAAA